AUUCUCUUCAAGGCACACUUAUUCACAGAAUCAUGGGAUCAUGUAGAUUGGAAGGGACUUGCGAAGUCAUCACCUCUAACCCCUGCUCAAACUAAUGAACAAGACCAGACUUCUGCAAACUCUCUGAUGACCACCAGAACUGGUGCAAGGGAAGGCUGGAAGUUGCAGCCAGGAGUGAAGGAUGGCUGAGAAACAAGAUCUCAUCCUGAUGGUAGUGUUCCAGGCACUACACUUCAAGAACAAUAUGAGUCAGCUGGAGAGUGUCCAGAGAAGAACCAGCAGGAAUGAUGAGAGGGUUGAAACCAUGACCUGCAAUGGAAAAAUGGAACAAACUGGAACUUCUUACCCUAAACAACAGAAAUCUGAGAAGAGAUAUGAUAAUAGACAUGAAAGAAAUGAACGGCCAUUGAAAAGAAGAAAUAAUUUAUUUUCUAUAGGACAAAAAGCAAUGGGCUUUAAUUACAGUAAAGAGGAUUCAGUUUACGUAUCAGAAACUAUACGAAUAGAUAAUGAAUAGGAAUAGAUUGCUGUGCAGGAUGGUAUAUGGAGACUUUAAGGUUAGAGAAAUGUCAGUCAGGAAUAUUUUAGGCAUAACUGAUCCUAUAUAAGGCCAAUGAGGUCAAUGACCUCUUGAGUUUGCUUCUAUACAGGCAUGUUCCAGGUGCAGGGCAGACAAGAAGGAAGCACAAAAUUAACAGGGAUUAGUAGACAAUACAGUAGUCAACAGAUUACAUAGCAGCAGAAUCAGGGGAAAGUCUCAUUGGCCUGUUUCCUUUACCUUUAGUGCCAUGGUAAGAUUUGAGCUCAAGGUAGCUACAUAUUUCUGCUAAUCCUUGAGAAACUAAAAGUUAUUGUUUCUGUAGUGAGUAUGUUGGCUUAUUGCUGGGAAGUGGUUUAUAAAGUUGGCUGGUAGAAAAAUAUUGACUGCAAAAACUGUGGAGCCUUCAGAUCCUUUCUGCGUACUAUGCCCUAUACUUGGCUGUUUGCUGUGACUCUCACGGAUGAAAACAGUGUUGUAAAACAAUGAUAGGAAUAGCCUUCUUAUUUUUUUAGUUCAGCCUCAAACUGAAGGCCUGCUUUUAAAUUGUGUAGCCAAGUGCACAGACAGUCCAAGCGCAUACAUGCUAACCAUUCCUAAUCAUGGUUUCACGUAAAUAGUCAGAUGGCAGGCAGGCAUCCAGCUUUGUGCAUGCGAAGCAGCUGCAGAGCUGCAUGCUGAAUUUCAGGCUGAGCAUCAGGCACUUCGCAUCUACUCUUCUCCCACCUGGUACCACUCAUUUGCCAUUGGGCUGCACAUUACCCACGCUGCUGGCUAUGGAUCGACUCUUAACACCUUAACUACAUCUAAAGGAGAUGUUAAAUGGAUGGAAAUGACACUCCAGAGGGUACCAGAAAUGUUUACAACCUUUAACUAUAUAUUGUCUGUUGUUCGACUAUAUUUGGUGGAAGUCAUCAGGGCCAGAUCCAGCUAUGAGCAAGAGAAUCCCUUAGCCCGCUUCCUUCAGGAUUAUUAUCAAAAGACAACCACAGAAAACCCUUUUAAGAAAAUAAAUUGGGUUUCUUGUAAUAAAAUAAAGAUAUUUGUAUACUUGUAAUCUUGUCAGAUACCUAUCUGAGAUAUAGACAGCAAGAUCACUGUCACUAGUUUCUGACUAGCUAUGGACAACUUGCUUUUUUCACUUCCAUGUCUAAAACUGAAGGAAAUAAUAAUGCUGAUUUCUUUGUUAAUUGACUUUGGACCCUAUUGAGGGAAAGUGCUCUUUUAAGAGCUGCUUUAUUAUUUUCAGGAGAAAAAAAAUCAGAUUUUUAAGGACUCAGAGAGCUUUUGAGAUGACUUGCUGAGAAAAAUUGCAGCUCUAAGACUGCAUGAAAAGCUUGUUAUUCAGCCUUCAUUCACAUGUAGCAUCUGUUGUAUCUAACUAAAUUUGCUUCUUUCUACUUACCUUUCACUUGGUACUAAAGCAUACUUCUUUCUCCUGUAAUUUGUAGUUCUGCUUUUAUAUAACACAACCUGAAUUAGAUGCAAAGAAUGUUGAA